CGACUGCAGGAGGAGGCGGCGGCCUCAGCAAGAAGGAGACUGCGGCUUCAACCAGAAGGGAACGGCUGGAAGGAGACGCCUGAUUCAACGAGGAGGCAACAACUUCAUUGAUCUGGAGGAAGCGGCUUUUACAAUAGAGAAAGAAACAGCGGUUCUAACAUGAAGGAGAUGCCAGCUUCAGCUAGGUGGAGACUACAAUACGAGAGCCAACAGCACCUUAAACCAGGAGGAGGAGACGGCGAUGCAGAAAACUCUGGCAGCUGAAAGAGAUCACUUGGAUGCUCAUCUAUAUUUUUGAUCAGCUUUUGCUACACUACAACCAAAGGGAAUGUGGAUAUAUGAGACUAAUGCAAUUAAGUCAUCGGAGUAAAAGCGUGGAGGCCUCAAUUUGUAGAUUAUGUUAAGCAUUUUAUUCUCUAAAAUUAAUAUAAAUUUUAUUUUAUCGAUCUAAUCUUAAUUCAAGUCCAAAA